AGGCGGUUACUCGGCUCCUGGGCGGAGCGGGGGCCGCCUGGGGCCCCGGUCGCAGCGUUGGCGGGAGGGCUGGGGCGGAGUCCCCCCCCUAGUUUGGCGGAAAGUGAGUGAUGAGUCUGUGUCCCUAGCAAAGAGGCAAAGAACUUGCUGUGCAGCCUGAGUAGUUGUUUCUUUCGAUUGUUGUUGUGGCUUUUUUUUUUAAAUUGCUCUGCUCGGGGUGGGCUUGUCCGAGGGGGGGGUUGGUUUGUGGCUGCGGAGAAAAAACCAAACCCCCCCUCCCCGAGAUUCGACGGAACAAAAACAAAAGAAACUUCGCCGGGCUCCGAAAGUGGCAGCAAAGUGCCGGGCAAGUUGCAGGGAUGGAGCUACAGAGCUUGCAAGAGGCGUUAAAAGUGGAAAUCCAGUGUCACCAGAAACUAGUUGCACAGAUGAAGCAAGAUCCACAGAACGGUGAUCUUAAGAAACAAAUCCAUGAAAGGCAAUCAAGAAUAGCAGCUCUUAAUGAAAAACAAAAGCUGGCGGUGCGGAGCUGCCCCGCGGCGGUGCUGGUGGGAAGCGGGGGCAGCGGAAACACCAAGCCCGGCGGCGGGGUCCCUGCGCUUCUCAAAGCGUCCGGCGGCGGCAGCCAGAGCCAGAGCCAGAGCCUGGCCAUCUCCGUCCUGCCGGCCAAGGCUCCCAUCGCGAUGGUGACCGCGCACAUCAACGGGGGGCUGGGCUGCAGCGCGGCCGGCGUGGAGCCCCCGCAGAGCGCCCCCAUCAACCUGCAGACCACGGCCAAGCUGGUGACCGCCCGGAGAGCGCCCGAGCUCGGCUCCCGCUCCCAGGCUUUGGGAACUAUCACUGCAGUGCCCAUUAAAGUUCCUCAGGUCAGCUCCUUGCAGAGGUUGGCAGGACAAGGACCAGCAGUGCUACCUCAGGUUAGGCCAAAGACCCUGAUUCCAGACAGCCUUCCUAUUUCCCCAUGCAGAGACCAACCUUCCAAACAGCCUCCUACUUUCCAAAAGGCAACAGUAGUGAGCAUCAAAAACCCUAGCCCUGCCCUCCCCACCGCCAAUAAUACUGUCAGCCAUGUACAGACGCCUAACAGCCAGUCACAAAGUGUGGCCGAGUCUACAUCUAUCUCAUCACCUCUGAGCAGUGCAGGUGUGGCCUAUGCUAUUAUAUCCACCUCCCCCAACAAUGCAACUCCUAUCAGCACGAACGCUACCGUCUCUGUGGUCAACGAUAGCAUUAAAGUGCAACCACUCCUCAUUAGUGCCGACAGCAAGGUUAUCAUCAUUCAGCCUCAAGUCCAGACUCAGACAGAAAAUAAAGUGGAAACAAAGAAACCUCCUGAAGAGUCACCUCAGGGACCCCCUGCUACCAAAAAGAAAAAGGAGGAAAAUCCAGAGAAAAUUGCCUUUAUGGUAGCAUUAGGCCUGGUUACAACAGAACACUUGGAAGAAAUCCAGAGCAAGCGUCAGGAAAGAAAGAGAAGAAGCACAGCAAAUCCAGCCUAUAGCGGACUCUUGGAAACUGAGCGGAAACGCCUUGCAUCAAAUUAUUUGAAUAACCCGUUGUUCCUUUCAGCAAGAGCAAAUGAGGAUCCAUGUUGGAAGAAUGAAAUUCACCACGAUGAACACUGUACAGCAUGUAAGCGUGGCAUUAACUUGCAACCAUGUGGCACAUGUCCAAGAGCAUAUCAUCUCAAUUGCUUGGACCCUCCUCUGAAAACUGUCCCCAAAGGGGUUUGGGCCUGCCCAAAGUGCCAACAAAAGGUAAGUGAGUUGAGGCAUGUGUAUUGCAGUCAUUCCAAGAAAAGAAAAAAGAGAGUGAGUUUGCACAGCAUAAUUCUAGAGGCUGUUUCAGUUUACAAUACUAGCUAAGGAGACAAGAUUAUCAAAAGUAAUACAGUAAAAGCUCAAAGAUACAAACACCAGAGUUACGGACUGGCCAGUCAACCAGACAUCAUGUGAAACCGGAAGUAACCAAUUAGAAAGCAGCAAAGACUAAAAAAAAAAAAAAAGUAAUGUACUGUGCCUAUAUUGCAUCUUAAAAGUAGGCACAUCUGGGCUGCCUGUCCCCACCUCUGCCCCAUGUGCUGGGCAGCCACUUACAGCUAGGAGGUGAUGAAGCUGGGGCUGCCAGCCUAAGGCAGCUGGAGCCAAGAGCAGGAGCAGUGCUGGGGUCUGCGCCACUUUCACCCCUUCUCCCUCUUCCCUCACCUGGAGGGGGAGGCACUGUUUUUAUCACACACACACCCUUCACAGGCCGGGAGGGGGACACGCUGUUUUCUCACUCACACACACAGCCGGGAGGGGGAAACACUUGCAAACUCAGUCCAACCCAGGGAAGGAAGCUGCCAGUGCUGAGUAGGGAGCUCAGUUGCUGCUGGAGCCUGAACGGCACUUUGUUCCUAGUUACAAACAUGUCAGAGUUACGGACACAACCUCCAUUCCCGAGGUGUCUGUAACACUGAGAUUCUACUGCAAUGACGUUUCUUCGGGAAUUUGCUUCUUUUGUUGCCUGGUAGUUUUACAGCAUUGGUCUCAUACCUUACAUUUUUUCCCCUCUUGAUUUCAUGGUAUUGCAUCCCUCAAGAUUUACGCUGAAAGAUUAAAAAUGGCUGUUCAUUCCCUUUACGUUUGUCUUCUAUAAAAACCACCUGUACGUACAAUUGCAAAGCAAGUAAUGUAGUUCUUGCAGACGGAGGAGACAGUGUCAUGCACAGACAAUGCACCAGAGGAUCUGAAGGUUGUAAGGAGAGUACACCAUCUUCUUUAUAAGAUUUAUUAUAUGCAGCUAUUGAUAACCAUUUUAGAAAUGCAAUUCUAACAGUGUUCACACAAGCCAAAUGAUUAGCACCAGGUCUGUAAGAACUGUAAAACAAUGUUGCUAAAUUUUAGAAUGAGCGGGCUUAAUUUUUGUUCCUUAGAAUUCUCAGCUUUAGCCCCUAGGAAAAAUUACUAGUUAGUUUCUUUGGAAAUGUCAAAGAGAAUUGCUGGUCUGUAUUUACAUUUAGUGGAACCAGCCUAUCUUCUCUUCUCUAUCAAGUCCAGUUUUCUAUCUCCAGUGGUGGCCUGUACCUAAUAGGUAUUAAAGAAAGAUGAAAAUGUGCCAUGGACUGGAACUCUGGCUAUUGUUCAUUCCUAUGUUACUCAUAAAACAGUCAAAGAAGAAGAGAA